rnacentral:rRNA from 1 species
GUGCACCAGGCGCGAAAACUCCGCAAUGCACGAAAGUGCGACGGGGUUACCUCGAGUGCCGCCUGAUGAAGGCGGCUUUUCCACAGUGUAAGGAGCUGUGGGAAUAAGAGGGGGGCAAGACUGGUGUCAGCCGCCGCGGUAACACCAGCCCCUCGAGUGGUGGAGGCGAUUAUUGGGCCUAAAGCGUCCGUAGCCGGCCCGACAAGUCCUCCGUUAAAUCCGACGUUCCAAGCGUCGGACUGCGGAGGAUACUGUCGGGGUAGAGGGGGGGAGAGGCCAGCGGUAGUCCCGGGGUAGGGGCGAAAUCCGUUGAUCCCGGGAGGACCACCAGUGGCGAAGGCGGCUGGCUUGAACACGCCUGACGGUGAGGGACGAAAGCUGGGGGAGCGAACGGGAUUAGAUAUGAAGUUGAGUUUUUACCAGCUUCACUAGAUACCCCGGUAGUCC